AACUAGCAUAUCAAUAGCGGAGGAAAGAAACCAACAGGGAUUGCCCUAGUAACGGCGAGUGAAGCGGCAACAGCUCAAAUUGAAAUCUGGCCCUCGGGUCCGAGUUGUAAUUUGUAGAGGAUGCUUUUGGCGCGGUGCCUUUCCGAGUUCUCUGGAACGAGACGCUUAGAGGGUGAGAGCCCCGUACGGUUGGACACCAAGCCUCUGUAAAGCUCCUUCGACGAGUCGAGUAGUUUGGGAAUGCUGCUCUAAAUGGGAGGUAAAUUUCUUCUAAAGCUAAAUAUUGGCCAGAGACCGAUAGCGCACAAGUAGAGUGAUCGAAAGAUGAAAAGCACUUUGAAAAGAGGGUUAAAUAGCACGUGAAAUUGUUGAAAGGGAAGCGUUUGCGACCAGACUUUUCACCUGGCGGAUCAUCCGGUGUUCUCACCGGUGCACUUCGCCAUGGUUUAGGCCAGCAUCGGUUUCUGUAGGGGGACAAAAGCUCUGGGAACGUAGCUCCCUCGGGAGUGUUAUAGCCCUCUGCAUAAUACCCUUACGGGGACCGAGGACCGCGCUUUUUGCAAGGAUGCUGGCGUAAUGGUCGUCAACGACCCGUCUUGAAACACGGACCAAGGAGUCGAACAUUUGUGCGAGUGUUUGGGUGUUAAACCCUCACGCGUAAUGAAGGUGAACGUAGGUGAGAGCCCUUACGGGUGCAUCAUCGACCGAUCCUGAUGUCUUCGGAUGGAUUUGAGUAAGAGCAUAACUGUUCGGACCCGAAAGAUGGUGAACUAUGCGUGGAUAGGGUGAAGCCAGAGGAAACUCUGGUGGAGGCUCGCAGCGGUUCUGACGUGCAAAUCGAUCGUCAAAUCUGCGCAUGGGGGCGAAAGACUAUCGAACCAUCAGCGU
rnacentral:rRNA from 1 species